rnacentral:rRNA from 1 species
CGAGUGGCGGACGGGUGAGUAACGCGUGAGCAAUCCGUCCCAGACAGGGGGAUAACACUUGGAAACAGGUGCUAAUACCGCGAUAAGACCACGGCAUCGCAUGGUGCAGGGGUAAAAGGAGCAAUCCGGUUUGGGGUGAGUUCGCGCCCGAUUAGAUAGUUGGUGAGGUAACGGCCCACCAAGUCGACGAUCGGUAGCCGACCUGAGAGGGUGAUCGGCCACAUUGGAACUGAGAGACGGUCCAAACUCCUACGGGAGGCAGCAGUGGCGAAUAUUGGGCAAGUGGGCGAAAGCCCUGACCCAGCAACGCCGCGUGAGUGAUGAAGGCCUUCGGGUUGUAAAGCUCUGUUAUAGGGGACGAAGGAAGUGACGGUACCCUAUAAGGAAGCCCCGGCUAACUACGUGCCAGCCGCGGC